rnacentral:rRNA from 1 species
GCCAGCAGCCAUGUCACCCUGCAACUUACAAUUGGCAACCUAUUGAAGCUAAGCAGAUGUGAGCCUGGUCAGUGAACCUGGAUGGGAGACCUCCUGGGAAAAACUAAGGUAGCUGCUGGAA